AUAACAUUUUAAAGUUUAGUCACAGGGAAAAUGGGAAAUCGGCAUAGCAAGAAGGAAUCUAAAUUACCAUUUUCACUGGAUCAACUUAAAACUUUGGAAGACUCAUUUCGUGGUUGCGGCCCAAACAACGAAAAGCUGCAAAAGGAAGAUUUGCUGAGGAAACCAGUCUUUAAAAACUGGUGGGCUUUAGAUUGGUAACCAGGGCGUACGGAAUUAAGGAAAAUAUGGGAGGUCGAGGGGGAUCAACCAGUUGUCUGUAUGAAGUUUCAAAGCGAUUUGGCUUAUAGAUUUAAAUUUAUUUGUAAAUUUAAUAAACUUGUAACUUAACCAUAACUAAUUAUGCAUCUAAUGUGCAAUGUAACAUUAAUCUUUUUUA